rnacentral:lncRNA from 1 species
UUCCCCACUAUGGUGUUCUUAGCCCUCAAGCCAGAGAGUCUCAGGAUCCAUUGCCAUGUACAUUCUCCCAGCUGCUGCUAGUACAUGUUGGUGAAAUCCUGUAGUUCCUUCAGGGUAGAGUCUCUAUCCUUCCUUAGCAGACCCAGCACCUCCACAGCUGAGUUGUAUUGUGAUUAAACCCUAAUUAAUAGGCUGGGAGCCGGGAUAUGAGAUAGGGGUAGAUCCUGCAGGAGCUUCAUAUUGUCUUGCACGGAAGAGGCUUCUACAUUGUCUUCAAGCAAGGAGGGAACACAGGUCCUUUAACAGCAAGUGGUUUGCUUUUUCUGCAGGCUUAGAAGGUUCAGAAGGAUAUGGAGAUUCAAUAUUUUCUAAUGCAUUGACCCAGAUGUUCCCAUCCCAUGUCAUAAUGUACCACUCCUUCCAGUCAGGACCCUAAUCUUGGUGUCACAGACUUUCUAAUACUGAGAAUUCAACCUCAUCUGGAGUGAUAUUAUUCUUAUAAUUACACACUAGGCCCAACCCUCAGGUUUUUCUGCCUUCCAGCUGAGGAGGAGUCUUUCUAUGCUACCAGAGAUGCCCUCUGUCUUUCACACUUAGCCUUUCCUUAGUGAUUCAUGCCCCCUGCCUCCGUUUUCCAUUGUCUUACUCCAUUGCAUUAAUUGCCUCCCAGAAUAGCUAUUCAGUUCCACAGUUAAUUACUACUUCCCCUAAACUUCUCAAACACCUGUGGUAUUUCCCCUACCUCUGCAUUUUUUUCUGCAGUCCAUGGCUGGAUUCUUUUCUAUUGGUAUCCCAUCGUGUACACCAGCCAUGAAAGUUUUAAUGAAUGCACCACUGCAGUAUGACAGGGUCUACCAGUGUUUCACUCCCACAGAGGAUGCUGUCCUCAGUAGCAGUCAGCUGGCAGGUGAUCCUGAUCCAAAAUCUUAUUAUAGGAUCUGUUUCCUCAUACCAUACCUGGCACAAGCUGCCUUAGAUAUGGUCCUCCAGGAAACAUACUCUGAGAGGAGAUACACAUGUAGGAAGUUUAUUGGUGAAUGUUCUCUUGUUCUACAUGUGUGGGGGAGUGAAAACAAGAGGAUGAGGAAGAGGGAGGGAUGAACUGUAAUGUAGUUCCCACCAAGAGCUCUGGAGCUGGAAUGGCCACCUUUGAGGCAUGGUGUGCAGACCCUUAUAGCUUCAUGUUGAAGGCUAACCCCCAGGGAGGGGUGUGAUCUUGGCAAGGUGACUUCCUUCACCUGAGCGCAGUUCCUGGUGAGCAACUCAGCUGAGAGCCCUUAGCUACCAAUCCUAAAGAGAGGGCCUGGGCAGCACAGCACACACAACCAGGGAAACAAUCGCAUUGCACAAUUGAUUGCAAUUGAAAUUAUCUCUUCAAUUUCAGUGGGGAUGAAGGAAUCCAAGAUGUUAGAGAUGAUGGAGUCCAAGAAGCAGUAUUCAAUCAGAGAAUCAAGGUCAUCAUGCUACAGAUGGUCUUACAAAUGGAACCCCAAAUGAGCUCAACUAACAACUUCUACCGAGGACAGCUGGACCAACUUGCUGGCCCUUCUGCUGGCCUAAAGAGUUCACCUCUGGAGGACCCUACAACUGCAGGGCCUCUUCUUUGCCCCUAUCCAGCAGGAAGUAGCUAGAGUGGUCAUUGGCCAAAUUCCCAACAGCAGUUGGGGUGUCCUGUUUAGAGGGGGGAUUGAGAGGUGACAACGUGCUAGCAGCCCUCACUCACUCUCAGCAUCUCCUCAGCCUUGACGUCCUCUCUGGCUGCGCUCGAGGAGCCCUUCAGCCCACCGCUGCACUAUGGGGGCCCCUCUCUGGGGCUGGCCAAGGCCGGAGCUUGCUCCCUCUUCCUGCAGGGAGGUGUGGAGGGAGAGGUGCGGGUGGGAGCCGGGGCGGCACGUGGCACUUGUAGGCUGGUGCAGGUUCCAAAUGGGCAUGGGCCCAGCAGGCCCAGCACUUGGCACUACCAGCUGGCACCUGCUGUGAUUGAUUGGAGGCUGGGUCCUGUGCAUGGACCGCCAUUCCCUCUUCACGGGGUCAUUGGCCAUGGUGGCAGGUCUCCUUCUCUUUCUCACAUCUCUUCUUCUCCUUUUGGUUGUCUGGGACGAGCUAGGUGCCGCAAAGUCCCAUGGUGAGUGCUAGUGAGAGGUGAGGCCAGCUGGGCUUCUGGGAUGGGUGGGGACUUGGAGAACUUUCUGUGUAGCUAAAGCAUUAUAAAUGCACCAAUGAGCACUCUGUGUCUAGCUAAAGGUUUGUAAACACACCAAUCAGCGCUCUGUGUCUAGCUAAUCGGGUGGGGACUUCAAGAACUUUUGUGUCUAGCUAAAGGAUUGUAAAUGCACCAAUCAGCACUCUGUCAAAAUGGACCAAUCAGCUCUCUGUAAAAUGGACCAAUCAGCAGGAUGUGGGUGGGACCAGAUAAGGGAAUAAAAGCAGGCCACCUGAGCCAGCAGCAGCAACCCGCUGGGGUUCCCUUCCACACUGUGGAAGCUUUGUUCUUUCACUCUUCACAAUAAAUCUUGCUGCUGCUCACUCUUUGGGCCCAUGCUGCCUUUAUGAGCUGUAACACUCACCGGGAAGGUCUGCAGCUUCACUCCUGAAGUCAGCAAGACCAUGAACUCACCAGAAGGAAGAAACUCUGGACACAUCUGAACAUCUGAAGGAAUAAACUCCAGACACACCAUCUUUAAGAACUGUAACACUCACUGCAAGGGUCUACGGCUUCAUUCUUGAAGUCAGAGAGACCAAGAACCCACCAAUUCUGGACACAGGACCACUAAAAUAUCGCAUGAUUGCUAAAAAUAUAGAUAGCCUAAUCAAGUCAAGAAUACUUGUGUUGGCUUCCUGACACAAGGAGUGAGGACCAUUUUUGUCCUAUUUUACUCCUUAUUUUAGUAGACAGGACCAACAGGAACCUGUGUGGUUUCUACUCCCUUCCAAAACAAUAAACCAAAAGCAAUUCUCCAUUUCUAAGAAAUUACAUAGUUCAGAGCCUGUUGGGAGAAAAGCUGAGUGUUGGGAGAGAAGCUGAGGCAGGGCUUGCAUGUCUGCUAGACUUGCUGACUCCUUGCUUCUAGCACUCCCAUUAUCUCAAGUAGCCAUAUGUUUCUCAUUCACUUGAUACACCAUUUCCUUUCAACCCCCACAUCCUCACCACCUGUUUCUUUGAACACUAAUAAAUAGCGUGGACUCCCAGAGCUUGGGGCCUUCACAGCCUCCACACUCACAAUGGCCCCCUGGUCCCACUUUCUCUCUCAAACUCGUUUUCUCAUUCCUUUGACUCCACCAGACUUUGUCACCCCUAUGUCCUGGUGUUGGGUCUGAUCACCCCAACAGGAGACAUCAUGAAAUAUUUUAUUUAUACAGGGAAGGAGGAUGAUUUCUAUUACGUGUCCACCUAUAUGUCCAAUUGGCUAGAAUGAAAAAGAUCUGUAUUAGGAAAAUGAUAAUGAAUAUUUGAUUUUAAUCAGGUGGAGACAGCAUUUGUAGUGUCUAAACAGAUCUGGGCAAACCAAAUCGUCCCUGAAACCUGUUAGGCAACUAUUGAUCUAUUGUCCUCUUCAUUGUUAGCGACUUUAACUGAGCACAUUGCUUGAUGUGGGCCAAUGUGAAUAAUGAUGAGAUUUGAACAGCAAUGUUGUGUGUAGCUUCCAGAAAGGUUUAUUAAAGAAAUCAAAGUUAGCUAUUUUCCUCUUUCCUCCUUUCUGCCAGUUAGAAGGUAAACAUGAUGAUUGGAGUGCUAGAAGCUAUAUUGAACCAAAAGACAAGGACCACACCCUAAAUAUGAUGAGGCAAUAUCAGCCCUGGAUAGCCUAG